GAUGAACGCUGGCGGCGUGCCUAAUACAUGCAAGUCGAGCGAACAGACGAGGAGCUUGCUCCUCUGACGUUAGCGGCGGACGGGUGAGUAACACGUGGAUAACCUACCUAUAAGACUGGGAUAACUUCGGGAAACCGGAGCUAAUACCGGAUAAUAUAUUGUACCGCAUGGUUCAAUAGUGAAAGACGGUUUUGCUGUCACUUAUAGAUGGAUCCGCGCCGCAUUAGCUAGUUGGUAAGGUAACGGCUUACCAAGGCAACGAUGCGUAGCCGACCUGAGAGGGUGAUCGGCCACACUGGAACUGAGACACGGUCCAGACUCCUACGGGAGGCAGCAGUAGGGAAUCUUCCGCAAUGGGCGAAAGCCUGACGGAGCAACGCCGCGUGAGUGAUGAAGGUCUUCGGAUCGUAAAACUCUGUUAUUAGGUAAGAACAAAUGUGUAAGUAACUAUGCACGUCUUGACGGUACCUAAUCAGAAAGCCACGGCUAACUACGUG
rnacentral:rRNA from 1 species